CAAUAGCGUAUAUUAAAGUUGUUGCAGUUAAAAGCUCGUAGUUGGAUUUCUGGGAGGGUGCCAAUGUCCGCCGAGUGCGUGCGCAGCGGCGCCCUUCCAUCCUUCUGUUAACGUUUCUUGGUAUUCAGUUACUGGUCUCGGGCUCAGAUAUUUUACCUUGAGAAAAUUAGAGUGUUUCAGGCAGGCUUACGCCGGAAUACAUUAGCAUGGAAUAAUAGAAUAGGACUUUAGUCACCUUUUGUUGGUUUGAGGGACUGAAGUAAUGAUUAAUAGGGAUAGUUGGGGGCAUUAGUAUUUAAUUGUCAGAGGUGAAAUUCUCGGAUUUGUUAAAGACUAACUUAUGCGAAAGCAUUUGCCAAGGAUGUUUUCAUUAAUCAAGAACGAAAGUUAGGGGAUCAAAGAUGAUUAGAUACCAU
rnacentral:rRNA from 1 species